rnacentral:rRNA from 1 species
UACGUAGGGUGCGAGCGUUGUCCGGAAUUAUUGGGCGUAAAGAGCUCGUAGGCGGCUUGUCGCGUCGGAUGUGAAAGCCCGGGGCUUAACUCCGGGUCUGCAUUCGAUACGGGCAGGCUAGAGUUCGGUAGGGGAGAUCGGAAUUUCUGGUGUAGCGGUGAAAUGCGCAGAUAUCAGGAGGAACACCGGUGGCGAAGGCGGAUCUCUGGGCCGAUACUGACGCUGAGGAGCGAAAGCGUGGGGAGCGAACAGG